rnacentral:rRNA from 1 species
AGAGUUUGAUCAUGGCUCAGAACGAACGCUGGCGGCAGGCCUAACACAUGCAAGUCGAGCGCACUCUUCGGAGUGAGCGGCGGACGGGUUAGUAACGCGUGGGAACGUACCCAGAUCUACGGAAUAGCCUCGGGAAACUGAGAGUAAUACCGUAUACGCCCUUCGGGGGAAAGAUUUAUCGGAUUUGGAUCGGCCCGCGUUAGAUUAGAUAGUUGGUGAGGUAACGGCUCACCAAGUCUACGAUCUAUAGCUGGUUUUAGAGGAUGAUCAGCAACACUGGGACUGAGACACGGCCCAGACUCCUACGGGAGGCAGCAGUGGGGAAUCUUGGACAAUGGGCGCAAGCCUGAUCCAGCCAUGCCGCGUGAGUGAUGAAGGCCUUAGGGUCGUAAAGCUCUUUCGCCAGAGAUGAUAAUGACAGUAUCUGGUAAAGAAACCCCGGCUAACUCCGUGCCAGCAGCCGCGGUAAUACGGAGGGGGUUAGCGUUGUUCGGAAUUACUGGGCGUAAAGCGCGCGUAGGCGGACCAGAAAGUUAGGGGUGAAAUCCCGGGGCUCAACCCCGGAACUGCCUCUAAAACUCCUGAUCUAGAGUUCGAGAGAGGUGAGUGGAAUUCCGAGUGUAGAGGUGAAAUUCGUAGAUAUUCGGAGGAACACCAGUGGCGAAGGCGGCUC